UAAUGUCGGGAAAUUCUAACGAAACUGCCAGUGCAAACUGUGAGGAAGGUGGGGAUGACGUCAAAUGGCCCUUACGUCUUGGGAUACACACGUGCUACAAUGGCCGGCACAGAGAGCAGCCACUUCGCAAGAAGGAGCGAAUCUAUUAAAACCGGUCUCAGUUCGGAUCGGAGUCUGCAACUCGACAAGCUGGAAUCGCUAGUAAUCGGAUAUCAGCCAUGAUCCGGUGAAUACGUUCCCGGGCCUUGUACACACCGCCCGUCAAGCCAUGGAAGCUGGGGAGUGCCUGAAGUCGGUAACCGUACGCCUAGGGUAAAACUAGUAACUGGGGCUAAGUCGUAACAAGGUAACC
rnacentral:rRNA from 1 species